GACAGAGGAGCCAAGCGUUGUCCGGAUUGACUGGGCGUAAAGCGCACGCAGGCGGUCGCGCGCGUGGGGUGUGAAAUCUGGCCGCUUAACGGCCAGGCGCCAUCCCAUACGGCGCGACUGGAGUGAUGCAGAGGUCGAUGGAAUUGCCGGUGUAGUGGUGAAAUGCGUAGAGAUCGGCAGGAACACCCAGGGGGGAAACCAGUCGACUGGGCAUCUACUGACGCUGAGGUGCGAGAGCGUGGGGAGCGAACCGG
rnacentral:rRNA from 1 species